rnacentral:rRNA from 1 species
UAGGGAAUCUUCCACAAUGGACGCAAGUCUGAUGGAGCAACGCCGCGUGAGUGAAGAAGGGUUUCGGACCGUAAAGCUCUGUUGUUGGUGAAGAAGGAUAGAGGUAGUAACUGGCCUUUAUUUGACGGUAAUCAACCAGAAAGUCACGGCUAACUACGUGCCAGCAGCCGCGGUAAUACGUAGGUGGCAAGCGUUGUCCGGAUUUAUUGGGCGUAAAGCGAGCGCAGGCGGAAGAAUAAGUCUGAUGUGAAAGCCCUCGGCUUAACCGAGGAAUUGCAUCGGAAACUGUUUUCUUGAGUGCAGAAGAGGAGAGUAGAACUCCAUGUGUAGCGGUGGAAUGCGUAGAUAUAUGGAAGAAUACCAGUGGCGAAGGCGGCUCUCUGGUCUGCAACUGACGCUGAGGCUCGAAAGCAUGGGUAGCGAACAGGAUUAGAUACCCUGGUAGUCCAUGCCGUAAACGAUGAGUGCUAAGUGUUGGGAGGCUUCCGCCUCUCAGUGCUGCAGCUAACGCAUUAAGCACUCCGCCUGGGGAGUACGACCGCAAGGUUGAAAC